rnacentral:lncRNA from 10 species
GUCAAAGAACUAGUGAGCCAUUUCCCCAAAAAAGGAUCCCAGGCUCUCCCCAGUCAGAAGCUUAACUGAAGCCAGAGCUGGGUGGACCCUCGCCCACCAGGAAUAGCGGCUAUAAUGACAAGGGUCAUUGUGUGUUUUGCUGCUUAAUGAAGCAGAGACAUUCCUCAGGCAUUUUGUCCUGGACACAGACCAUGUUCCGUGCUCCCCACCUUGCACUGAGGUGCGUGGAAGUUGGCCUACAGCAACGAGAGACAGAGCCCUGAAAGCUUCUCAGACUUCAGUCCUGCCCUUCCACAAGCUCUGCGGAGGCCCAGUCCUGCUUCUACUGGACACUUCUCAGGUAUUACAUUUUUCUUGUUUGCUUAACUCUGGAUGAUUGUACCCCAUAGAACCAAAAGAUUCCUAACUACUAUCUUGGAAUCCCAUCCUUCUGUGGGGCUCGGGAUGCCAGCUGAUUGGACAAGCCUUGUGGCUUCUCUCAGGCACUGACUCUGAGUUCUGUAUGAGGGGCUUCUGGACACUUGGGUGUGAAAUCUGGCCCAUUGAUUCUAAGGAUGUGUAAUCACUGAAACCUGUACCCCCAAUAAAUCU